UACGUAGGGUGCAAGCGUUGUCCGGAAUUAUUGGGCGUAAAGAGCUCGUAGGCGGUUUGUUGCGUCGGCUGUGAAAUCCCGAGGCUCAGCCUCGGGUCUGCAGUCAUACGAGCAAACUAGAGUGUUGCAGGGGAGACUGGAAUUCCUGGUGUAGCGGUGAAAUGCGCAGAUAUCAGGAGGAACACCGGUGGCGAAGGCGGUUCUCUGGGCAUUACCUGACGCUGAGGAGCGAAAGUGUGGGGAGCGAACAGG
rnacentral:rRNA from 1 species